rnacentral:rRNA from 1 species
UACGGGGGGGUAAGCGUUGUUCGGAAUUACUGGGCGUAAAGGGCUCGUAGGCGGCCAACUAAGUCAGACGUGAAAUCCCUCAGCUUAACUGGGGAACUGCGUCUGAUACUGGAUGGCUUGGAUUCGGGAGAGGAAUGCGGAAUUCCAGGUGUAGCGGUGAAAUGCGCAGAGAUCGGGAGGAACACCCGUAGCGAAGGCGGCACUCUGGGCCGGUACUGACGCUGAGGAGCGAAAGCGUGGGGAGCAAACAGG